AACGAACGCUGGCGGCAUGCCUAACACAUGCAAGUCGAACGAAGCCUUCGGGCUUAGUGGCGCACGGGUGCGUAACGCGUGGGAAUCUGCCCUUUGGUUCGGAAUAACAGUUGGAAACGACUGCUAAUACCGGAUGAUGACGAAAGUCCAAAGAUUUAUCGCCAGAGGAUGAGCCCGCGUAGGAUUAGCUAGUUGGUGUGGUAAAGGCGCACCAAGGCGACGAUCCUUAGCUGGUCUGAGAGGAUGAUCAGCCACACUGGGACUGAGACACGGCCCAGACUCCUACGGGAGGCAGCAGUGGGGAAUAUUGGACAAUGGGCGAAAGCCUGAUCCAGCAAUGCCGCGUGAGUGAUGAAGGCCUUAGGGUUGUAAAGCUCUUUUACCCGGGAUGAUAAUGACAGUACCGGGAGAAUAAGCUCCGGCUAACUCCGUGCCAGCCGCCGCAGUAA
rnacentral:rRNA from 1 species